ACAAAAUCUCUUUUCUUCUGUGUCAAUCUCAGUGCAUCGCUUCCAGGUUCUACGUUAGAACAAAAAGUAUUCUCAUCACUUCAUAACAUUGAGGUUGAUCCACUGAAGUUACAUGGACUACUUUAAUGAGGUUUUCACUACCUUUCUGGGCCCCGGACGUUGUAAUGACGUUGUGGUCUAUGUGUGGUUCAGGUACCUCUCUGAUUUCAUCAAACACAUCUUAAUGUGUGUUCCUGAAAACGAAUGAAGAUGUUUACCAAGAACAUCAAUGAAAGUGGAAAGACCUCAGAGAAGAGGAACAACACAGUCAAUCCUCAUGUGUCUACUCUUCUCAUUAGGCUACCCUGUGGACCUUGAGUGGUUAAGCAUGUGAGUUGUCAAA